rnacentral:rRNA from 1 species
GACGAACGCUGGCGGCGUGCUUAACACAUGCAAGUCGAACGGAAAGGCCCUGCUUUUGUGGGGUGCUCGAGUGGCGAACGGGUGAGUAACACGUGAGUAACCUGCCCUUGACUUUGGGAUAACUUCAGGAAACUGGGGCUAAUACCGGAUAGGAGCUCCUGCUGCAUGGUGGGGGUUGGAAAGUUUCGGCGGUUGGGGAUGGACUCGCGGCUUAUCAGCUUGUUGGUGGGGUAGUGGCUUACCAAGGCUUUGACGGGUAGCCGGCCUGAGAGGGUGACCGGCCACAUUGGGACUGAGAUACGGCCCAGACUCCUACGGGAGGCAGCAGUGGGGAAUAUUGCACAAUGGGCGGAAGCCUGAUGCAGCAACGCCGCGUGCGGGAUGACGGCCUUCGGGUUGUAAACCGCUUUCGCCUGUGACGAAGCGUGAGUGACGGUAAUGGGUAAAGAAGCACCGGCUAACUACGUGCCAGCAGCCGCGGUGAUACGUAGGGUGCGAGCGUUGUCCGGAUUUAUUGGGCGUAAAGGGCUCGUAGGUGGUUGAUCGCGUCGGAAGUGUAAUCUUGGGGCUUAACCCUGAGCGUGCUUUCGAUACGGGUUGACUUGAGGAAGGUAGGGGAGAAUGGAAUUCCUGGUGGAGCGGUGGAAUGCGCAGAUAUCAGGAGGAACACCAGUGGCGAAGGCGGUUCUCUGGGCCUUUCCUGACGCUGAGGAGCGAAAGCGUGGGGAGCGAACAGGCUUAGAUACCCUGGUAGUCCACGCUGUAAACGGUGGGUACUAGGUGUGGGGUCCAGUCCACGGGUUCCGUGCCGUAGCUAACGCUUUAAGUACCCCGCCUGGGGAGUACGGCCGCAAGGCUAAAACUCAAAGGAAUUGACGGGGCCCCGCACAAGCGGCGGAGCAUGCGGAUUAAUUCGAUGCAACGCGUAGAACCUUACCUGGGUUUGACAUGGAUCGGGAGCGCUCAGAGAUGGGUGUGCCUCUUUUGGGGUCGGUUCACAGGUGGUGCAUGGCUGUCGUCAGCUCGUGUCGUGAGAUGUUGGGUUAAGUCCCGCAACGAGCGCAACCCUUGUUCACUGUUGCCAGCACGUUAUGGUGGGGACUCAGUGGAGACCGCCGGGGUCAACUCGGAGGAAGGUGGGGAUGACGUCAAGUCAUCAUGCCCCUUAUGUCCAGGGCUUCACGCAUGCUACAAUGGCUGGUACAGAGAGUGGCGAGCCUGUGAGGGUGAGCGAAUCUCGGAAAGCCGGUCUCAGUUCGGAUUGGGGUCUGCAACUCGACCUCAUGAAGUCGGAGUCGCUAGUAAUCGCAGAUCAGCAACGCUGCGGUGAAUACGUUCCCGGG